UACGUAGGGUGCGAGCGUUAUCCGGAAUCAUUGGGCGUAAAGAGCUCGUAGGCGGUUCAGCAAGUCGGCUGUGAAAGUCCGAGGCUCAACUUCGGAAUUGCAGUCGAUACUGCUGUGAUUCGAGUCCGGUAGAGGAGAAUGGAAUUCUCGUUGUAGCGGUGAAAUGCGCAGAUAUCGAGAGGAACACCAGUAGCGAAUGCGGUUCUCUGGGCCGGCACUGACGCUGAGGAGCGAAAGCGUCGGUAGCAAACAUG
rnacentral:misc_RNA from 1 species